ensembl:lncRNA
AGCAGCACCAUUCUCUUUUUCAUUCAACAGUGGCCUAACCCACACACACAAAAAAAAAGAGGCCUAGUUGUAAAUUAAGUACAUCAGGGUGAACCUCUCAGUGACAGCGUUGAAGUCUUUAUUCCUUUUGAGUUUGAAAAGUCUCAGUUGACAUGAGGGCCUAGGAUGGCGCAGUUGUACUUCCCCAACACUCCCAAUACAUAAUCCACCAAGGCCGCAGCUUGUUUGUCAUCACACACAUCAUCAUACCAAAGACGCCUCCUUGACUUCACUUUUAGCCACAAUGCAAAAUCAUAAAGAUCUGGCCUUUGUUUGUCGUAUCUAGCAGUUGUCCCAUCUACUGCAACAAACGUGGCUGCAUUAAUCUCCUCUUCAAUGUCAUUUUGAAUCACAUCCCUGACUGCUUCAAUGAAAUCAUACUGUAUUCUGUUUGAUAUUCCUGGAAACACAGUGGAAGUCUCAAGUGUCUUGCUAACAUUUCGCAUUUUUCAGCCAAGGUAUCCAAUAACUACAUAGUUGCCAAGAUUACAUGAACCUGUACUCACAUCAUUACCACAAAAUGCUAAUUCUUGUUUCUCUAGGUAGCAUGUUACUCUAAUAAGGUCCUUCAAAAUCUCAGUUUUCCCCUGCAAACAGAGGAGGUCCUGAGGACAUUCAGCAACGUUUUCUCUGGGGGAUGUUUGUGUAGUUCCUUGUAAGUUACCAGGACAUCACUGAGGGCCAUGUCAGGAUCUUUUUAGGACAUUCUUAGUCCUUAGGACACCGUGUGAUGGUCCCAAGGGACGUGUUUUAAUUUCCCGGUUUGUCCUGAGACGUUUUUAUGACGUUUUUGGGACGUUGUGUCAUGGUCCCCUGAACAUUCUUAGGAUGUUGUCAUGGUACCCUGGAGGUUUUUGUCAUGUUGAUGGUCCCAGGUUUUCCAAACCAUUAUAAGUCAGGUAAUGAGAUGGUAUGUGGGUUUUAAGGUAAGUGGUACACUGUUCAACUAAAAUAGAGUAAAAAUCUUUAAUCAAGGACAAUAUGAUUACAUUUGGCAUGAUCACUUAGUACUGUUUUUUUCCAUAUAACCCCACCUGGGACUUGAACUCAUAUCAUGUGGAUUUGGGUUAUGCUGAUCUUUCACAAAGUCUGUACAAUUUCAGAAGUCCUCUACACAUUCCAUUACCUAUAAAACAUCUCUGCACAGAUGGCAAAAGAAUGCCAUCUGCACUACUAUUUUAGUUAUCAGUUAAUAUAACUAUUUGUAGGAUAAAUAAAGGGGGCAUUGUUAGAGGAAUUUAAUACUUAUGUGUUUGUUAACCAAUUCAAUUAUAACAAAGCAAAAUACUUUGUCCGUUUCUAAGAAUUUGUAAGGUUCUUAUUUGCAUAAAAUAGACAAAGAUCAGUCUCAAAAUGAAUCAAUAGCGUUUAUUCCCGAGAGCUCUGGUCAUAAUACCAUGUACAUUGGUUUAUAUACCUCACAUUUCGGCAUAAAUGUCCCUCCUCUCAGAUACAAUGGCAAUAUAGUUCACAAGCCUUCUCACAGUGUCUGCCACCUGUUAAACAAUCUACUACAAGCCCAAGGUCCCUCCCCUCCCUGGGUAGGGACAGAAUGUCCUGUAAGGAACACAGUAUUCCAGCCGGUCUGACGAGAGCUCCAUUCGUUUCUAACAAGGAACAGAAAGUCCUUGUUCUAAUUCUUAAUACUUAUACUUAUACUUAAUACUUAUACUCAGUAUUAUGAUUAUAAUACGAUUCAUACAUUCAUACAGUAACAGAGUAGUAUUCUGUUUAUUUGUAGUUCUAAGUUAAAUGUAUAUAUAAUUUAGUCAUUCAUAAAAAUCCCAUAACAGGCAUAUAAGCAGACAAUGAAAGUUCUUACAAUAUUAGAUGACAUUACUCUAAAACAGGCUAUAGGCUACAUGUGCACCACCAAGUCAGAACAGUAGGAUAAGUUAUGAGGGGGAAAGGGAACACAUUAUUAGGGUGAGGCACAUGUGCUUCUAACAGCUUACUACACAACAUACACUUAGUAUUACUUUCUUAGCUACAGUGUACAUAUCUCCCUGGCAUAUUACAUCAUUUAUGCAGCAGCAUACAAGACAUUUUUGGACUCACAUUUGUGCUGUGUUCAGUUGAACAGGAAGGUGGCACGGUGGUCCUUGUGGGCAAAUUCAUGAAACCUUGUCAUCAAAGUCUGGCAUACUCUGGAUUUAUGAUGCUUUCAAGACAACGGAGAACUCUGGGAAAAAAACUAGUUUGAAUCAUGACAUCAGUGAUCUUCAGGUCGGAGCCCUCGAAAGAGGCCCGAGUUUCCGACUUGGAAUUCCGACUUGGAGUUCACAGUUGUCUUGAACUCACUGUAUCCUGAGAUUUCCCAGUUCAGAGUUUCCAGUUGUUUUGAACAUGGCAAAAGUCAUGCUGGAUUGACAGAAGGGCCAAUGUAUUCAACCUUUUCUGAACCAUGGUGUUGCUUGUGAAUUUGAACCCAUUUACACUUUGAAAAGACAUCUUUAAUCAAUCAAAUGUAUUUAUAAAGCCCUUUUUACAUCAGCAGAUGUCACAAAGUGCUAUACAGAAACCUAGCCUAAAACCUCCAAGUAAUGCAGAUGUAGAAGCACGUUUUAUCUAUAAUAUCUCUUCAGAUGAACAAAGAUUAAAAAGUAUUUGCCAGUAGGUUGUCAACGUGAUUUAUGAUGACUCCUUGUCUAGCUAAGAUUUUGAAAAGUAGAUAUAACGUUUUUGGAUGUAGAUAUAACAUUAUUUGACGUCAUUUAAUCUGUGGACAAGGUCAUUGGAAUAUUUUAGGCUUCCCUGGUCUUUGUGGUUUAAUCUGUGUUUGAAAUUCACUGUUCGACUGAGAGACCUUACAGAUAAAGUGCAUUCGGAAAGUUUUCAGACCCCUUGAUUUGUUUUCUACAUUUUGUUAUCGUUACAGCCUUAUUCUAAAAUGGAUUAAAUCGUUUUUUCCCCUCAAUCUACACACAAUACCCCCAAAUAAAAAAAAUAACAGGUUUAGAAAUGUUUGCAAAUGUAUUAAAAAUAAAAAACUGAUAUCACAUUUACAUACGUAUUCAGACCCUUUACUCAGUACUUUGUUGAAGCACCUUUGGCAGCGAUUACAGCCUUGAGUAUGACGCUACCAUCUUGGCACACCUGUAUUUGAGGAGUUUCUCCAAUUAUUUUCUGCUGAUCCUCUUAAGCUCUGUCAGGUUGGAUGGGGAGUGUCGCUGCACAGCUAUUUUCAGGUCUCCAGAGAUGUUCGAUCGGGUUCAAGUCCGGGAUCUGGCUGGGCCUCUCAAGGACAUUCAGAAACUUGUCCCGAAGCCACUCCUGCGUUGUUUUGGCUGUGUGCUUAGGGUCGUCCUGUUGGAAGGUGAACCUUCGCCCCAGUCUGAGCACUCUGGAGCAAGUUUUCAUCAAGGAUCUCUCUGUGUAGUACUUUGCUCCAUUCAUCUUUCCCUCAAUCCUUUCUAGUUUCCCAAUCCCUACCACUGAAAAACAUCCCACAGCAUGAUGCUGCCACAAACCCGCUUCACCGUAGGGAUGGUGCCAGGUUUCCUCCAGAUGUGACGCUUGGCAUUCAGGCAAAAGAGUUCAAUCUUGGUUUCGUCAGACCAGAACAUCUUGUUUCUCAUGGUCUGAGAGUCUUUAGGUGCCUUUUGGCAAACUCCAAGCGGCCUGUCAUGUGCCUUUUACUGAGGAGUGGUUUCCAUCUGGCCACUACCAUAAAGGCCUGAUUAGUGGAGUGCUGCAGAGAUGGUUGUCCUUCUGGAAGGUUCUCCCAACUCCACAGAGGAACUCUGGAGCUCUGUCAGAGUGACCUUCAGGUUCUCGGUCACCUCCCUGACCAAGGCCUUUCUCCUCCGAUUGCUCAGUUCAGCUGGGCGGCCAGCUCUAGGAAGAGUGUUGGUGGUUCCAAACUUCUUCCAUUUAAGAAUGAUGGAAGCCACUGGGUUCUUGGGGACCUUCAAUGCUGCAGAAAUGUGUUGGUACACUUCCCCAGAUCUGUGCCUCGACACAAUCCUGCUCGGAGCUCUACGGACAAUUCCUUUGACCUCAUGGCUAUGUUUUUGCUCUGACAUGCACUGUCAACUGUGGGACCUUAUAUAGACAGGUAUGUGCCUUUCCAAAUCAUGUUCAAUCAAUUGAACUUAAAAAAAUUAAAAUAAAAACAUGAGCUGGUGCACACCCAGAAAAUAGUUAGUGUGGAGGUGCUGACUAACGGUGAAUAAACUAUCAAAAUAAAGAAAGUCGCACACUCCAUGUAUAAUCUCCCAACAAUUUAAUGGGCAAUGUUUCGGCAUCACUGUGCCUUCCUCAGGGUAACGUCAUAAAUACUUGAACCAGGUUAUAUAGACACACUGUGCAAUUAGUGUAACCAAUGACAAUGAGCUUACUACAGGUGGACUCCAAUCAAGUUGUAGAAACAUCUCAAGGAUGAUCAAUGGGAACAGGAUGCACCGGAGGUCAAUUUCGAGUUUCAUAGAAAAGGGUCUGAAUACUUAUUUAAAUAAGGUUUUUAUUUGUAAUAAAUUUGUCAAUUUCUAAAAACCUGUUUUCACUUUGUCAUUAUGGGGUAUGGUCUGUAGAUUGGUGAGGAACAUUUUUAAUUUAAACCAUUUUAGAACAAGGCUGUAUCGUAACAAAAUGUGGAAAAAUCCAAGGGGUCUGAAUACUUUCUGAAUGCACUGUAAUAGCAUGUGUGGGUUACAGAGGUGAGGUAGUCAUUCAAAAAGCAUGUUAAACACUAUUAUUGCACAGUGAGUCCAUGCAACUUAUGUGACUUGUUGAGCAGAUUUUUUAUUUAGGGUUGCCAUAACAAAGGGUUUGAAUACUUAUUGACUCAAGACAUUUCAGUUUUGGAUUUUUUAUUAAUUUGUAAAAUUCUCAAAAAACAUAAUUCCAAUUUGACAUUAUGGGUGGGGUAUGUGUGUAGGCCAAUGACAAAAUAUCUAAUUGUAAUCCAUUUAAAAUUCAGGCUGUAACACAACAAAAUGUGGAAAAAGUCAAGGGGUGUGAAUACUUUAUGAGGCACUAUAUGUCAGUGUGUCAAAUAUGUAAGUUGAAAAGCAGUGUUUGUUUGUGUGGGGGUGUUGGUGGCCCUAGCAUAUCCAAAAGACAAAGAGCUGUGACUGGAUCAGUGGUUCACCAAUCAGGGCCUUGAUGGACUUGGCAAAAGUAACAAGGGGUGAUGUGUAAUGAAACUAGGUUGUGAAUGCCCUGGGUAAAAUGUACGAUUAUUUUUGCAAACAUCAGGUGACAAACCAAGAACUGGAGAUAGACUUCCAUGGGAUCAUGACAAUGUCCAAAGAACAUUCAGGGGACCCUGACACAACAUCCCAAGAAAGUACUAAAAACGUCCUCGGGGGAUGUUCCCAAGACAAACUGGAAACUAGACAAAACCGUGACACAACGUCCUGACAACUUCAGGCCACCAUUUCGUGACGUCCCGGGGACAUCCUACGGACUCAUUGUUGUUUGCAGGGUAGUUCCCUCUAAGUUCCCACAAAAUCACUGAGGACCAUGUCUAAACCUUUUUAGGAUGUUCUCAGGACUUUCAUUUGACUAGUUCUUAGGAUGUCGUGUGAUGUUCCCAAAGGUAAUGUUCUCUGGGGAUCUUUUUUCUAGUUUCCUGUUUGUUCCGGGGGCUUCCCCGAAGACACUUUUAGAAUGUUCUUGUGACGUUGUGCCAUGGUUCCCUGGGUGUCUGGAUCCCGGUUUGUCCCGGGGACAUCCCUGAGGCUGUUUAAGACGUUCUUGUGUUGUGUCAUUGUCCCCUGGAGGUUUUGUCUAGUUCCCGGUUUGUCCUGGGGACGUCCCAGAGGAUGGCUUUUCAUAACACCUUUUUCAUAACAUAUUUUUUUAUUAGAUUAGCAUUGCCUACCCUGACUGCAUGUCAAUGUCCUACAGUACACGUUUAAAGCUGUACAGUACAUUCUAAGUGCAAUUCCAGAUGAAGUUGAAAUCAGCAUGGCGUUUAAUUGUAUUCUGUGGAAUCAAUGAUGUGAUGUGCUUCACAUUUCCAUAUCAUAAAAUUCAUGUCCUAUACAGUGUCAAUUUUAUGAUCACUAUGUUUGAUGUACAGUUACAAGAUGCCAUGGCUUCAUGCCCUGGAUUGUUCUGAAGCGAAUGUUCCUAUGCUUGUCUAUUGCGAAGAAACAGCACGCACCUCAAUGCACUCAUGACUCCUUUCAAUGUGCACCAAAAUUAUGAUCCGUUUCCCCGAAUUGCAUUGUGAAAGCCUGACAGUGUAAUAUUGUAUUUUAUAACUUAGCUAGUCACGUUAGCUAUAGAACCAGCUUUCAAUCGAUGCCCACAAGCCCCAGACUGAUUUAUAAUGGACCGUUUUUGGAUUACGUGAACAUCCGUAAUUGUAUGAUGGCGGGUAUGCAGGGUUGUGUUCCAAACAACUACAAGUGUGCUCGCUCUAGUUCCUCAACGGCACAGCUAGGAGAGCUCCAAAAAACACCUUAUAGUUGAAGACUCUUCUUUGAGUCAUAAAAGUGCAUUGAAAUGACUGUGCUGGGGUGUGUGGCCACUUGGAGACACCAAUUAAGUUCUCUCACUUAAACCCUUGUAAAUUGGUUGUCUUAUGUUGCACCUACUCCACAUGUUCUAGGGAUAUUCUUAUCAUGUUACUGAAUGUAUCCAGAGUAUUUUCAGAUUUCGUUAUCAACAAAUGCAGCGAAAAGUACAGUAAUUCUAAAAUGCUAAUAAAAUCAACAGUGUAAUGUUUGACUUCAGUCUUGUGUCAGGUGAACUGUGUCCUCAACUUCGGAAUAAUAAUUGUCCCAUAAUCCCCAAACAGUUCCCUUUCAAUUGCUACCACUGCCAUGGUUAUACAUAUGCUUUUCAAAUUUCCUCUGUAAGAAACAUUUCAAUUUAGCUCUAUCCAUGGGGUUCAUUUCCAACAUACCAGUACACCUUAAAAGGCACACUCAACAAGAUGACGUCGUCAUACUCAGAGGGGCAUCCUACUUACAGAAAACAAUAUCAGCAAAUUGUGUUUCAGACUUUAAUUAUGUCAUUUGUGCUGGUUUCUGUAAGUAGGAAGUCGACCCCAGUUGUGUGUCUAUGAUGAUGUAGUUUUGCUGUGUACCUUUUAACAUUUUACGUGACAAUGCUGACGUGAUGAUGAUCGUGUACUGCCAGCAGAUCUUAAUUAGCUUCAUGUGAGUAGGCUGUUUUCUUUAUGCGAGAACUCAUCGCGAGCGUGCUUUCUUUAGUAGGAAACACUACUCCCAUCCCCUCUAGAAACUGCUGAUCCAUGUUGAGUCCUCCACAUGACACAUUUGUUUGAACUCGUAAUUUGACUUCAAUAGACUGCAACAGAGAAUGAGGAAGUUCACUACUACUGAGAUUUUAUAGAAGCAUUUUGGAGCCAGAAACUCUUCUUCUGGUAAAUGUAGCGAAUUGAGAAGUGUGGUUGUUGACUGUGGGAUGGGAACAGCUGUGUCAGUCUAGCAUGAGAGAGAAUCAGUCUUCUGCCCGCCCACUGAGUCAACACACACACAAUGCUGUGAUGAUAAAAUAUGCAUAAUUAAGAGAAUUAUAUUUGAAUAGUCUGAAAUGUAACACUGUAAGAUUUCCAGUCCCAAGACCUUAAUUUUCUGUAAACGCAUGCAAACACAAGGAUUUGUGUGCACACCAAUGGCAUAACAAAUUGUCCCAAUGCUUGUUUAUAAUGGACACAUUUGAGAUUGUGUCUACCAUAUUUCAUUGCAUUAGUUAAGAAUGAAUAUCCAAGAUGUUGCUGGUAACUACAGUCCGAGG